ensembl:lncRNA
CUUUGGAUAAAAGCGUCGGCUAAAUGACAGAUGAGUAAUUUGCUGUGUCUUUUUGCUUGUUAGAAUUUUUGGGUUUAUUUUUUUAAUUUUUUUAUUGGCUUAUUGACUUUGGUGUCUAUGGGCAAUUAAAGGACUAGAUUGAAGGGUCUUGCCCAGUCAAAUAACUAUAUAAUAUUAGAUAAGGGGAAUAGUAGAAUACUAACUUGUACCAUAACUGGAUCAGAAAGCAGAAGCUCCACCCACUUCCCAUUUCUAGACAGUCUACUUCUGAACUUCCUGUGAUGUGCAAGCCAAGACUUACAAUUUGGUGCUGGUUAUCAGGAAGACAGGAUGCCAUGCAAAUUAAAGGGUAGUGAAAUAAACAGAGUGAUAGCGUCUGUUCCAGAAGGCACAACAUGCAAACAUCUGCUGUGAACUGGUCUGAGAAUCAGUUGGAUCCGCUCCCAUUACCCUCCAACAAAUAUUUACUGCCCUAUUAGGACCUUCCCUAGUACCCAUCAUAACAGAGCUGCCCACUAAAGGGCCUGAUGGUGAACCCUAAGAAGCUGCCAUGUUAGAGCUGCUGCAGGCCCCGGUUCUGUGGGAAUAGCAAAAUGAACGCCAUUACACCUGACAGCAUAUUCAGUUCCUCAGACAUCAUUGUGACAGACCUGGUCCCAUGAUCGGCCUAAUAAUUAAAGCUAUCCUGCAACCGGCGCCGUACUGCUGUGCUGCAUGCGCAUCAGGGGCCCAUGACAUGAUACAGAGGGACAGCUUAACUAUUAAAUAUCCAUCACGCCACGCCACAUCAGUCCUAAUGCAAUCAGAAACACAUGACUACAUCGCCCGGGCCCCCACUUCAAUCCACAAUGAUUAAAUGACAGUUCGAUUUGAUUGGGAAGAGGGGGGAUCUACUGUAGCUGCGCAGACUUAUUCGAGGCUUUGUGUACUUCAGAGAGAACGCACGUGGGCUGUGGUCUUUUUGCUGUAUUAUCAUUUUAAUGAAGCAGGGUAUUUCUUUUGUGGUCGGGAGGCUCUAAUGCAGUUGUCCAAGACUCCCCUUUCAUCUGUCUUCUUCAAAUGCUCGAGGUUGUUAAACAAAUGGAUGUGUCUGAGUAUAUAACGCUGAUGUGGCCAGGCUGUUGUUGACUGGGCCAAUUAGGGCUCAGAGAGAAAAGAAUAAGGCAUGUCUGUUCACUCACUCAAACCGUCAUACAAUACAGUCUGGCUGCUUUGUGUUUAUUAAAAUCACCUGGAUCCUUAAGGAUUUUGUAGAACACACCGUAGUAUGACAUUGCUAUCUGACGAUUUUCAUUAUCAGGACUUCCUGUACUGUUUUUAUCUUGCUAAUUAGCAUCUAAUUAUAAUAAAAAUGUUUUCCUCCUACCUGAUAUGUCAUGAAUUACCCGAUACCGUUGUCUCCGUGUUUAAAUGAGUGAGCAUCUUUAGAAAAAUGUUUAAUUUUACACCCAAGAGAUGAUAAUGAUGCAUACCUGUUUUCUUUAGUCGUAAUGAGAAUGCUGAAAUACGACAACGCUGAUUUCUCAAUGUGCUAAUUACUGAGCAAGUGCUGAUGCGCUAGUGGCUAAAGAUGUAUCCAAGUAAUAUUGUCAGUCAUGUUCUUUUCCAUAACGUCCACAACAAAAAUAGUUUUUGAAGAAAUAUGGUAGUUACGCUUUAAAAUAUAACAUUUUGAAAAUGCAUAGCAAGAAUUGCAUUAAUACAAUUUAAGAGUGUUAAUUUCAUUCAAUAAAUGC